GUGUGUCCUGGGAGAGAGAGAGUGAGCGAGAGAGAUGGCGAGGGAGGGAGAAAAUGAAAUGUAAGACAGAUACGGAGAGUGAAAGAGAAGGGGGUGUGGAGAGAGCAAGCUAGCGAGAGUGGAGAGCCAGUAACGCGGUGCAUUGAUGCAUUUGCUGCGUCUCAGGCAUGCUCUUUCAGCGGGACGUAGCCCGGGGUUUUUGGCAGCGGCAGGCUGCCUGUUUUCCAUCACCCAAUCGAGCCAGACCUGGAAUAGGGAUAUACGUGCGAACGGAGUUGCCGCGGCUGAGCAGCGCUGGACGAGUGAGGCUGCGAGAGAACUGUGAUCGGCUUCAUACUCAUCCUCAUCCUCGCACCAGGUACAUAACAAAUCAUCAAAGCCGGGAUUAAAAUUUCGUGAAGGAGCAGCUUUGACUGCUGGAAGACUUAAGCGUAUUAGCUUUAAGAUGGGAGUUUCAAGUGAUGUAUGGCAGACUUCAAAGAUGUUUUAAUCUGUCAGUAGGCAUGCUCUUGCACAGGCUAUUUAUAUUAGGACACAGUGUUUCUUCUGCUUGCACAUCCUAAUCAAUGGCUUCUCUGGCUAGACCCAGCCUGAUGUUGGUGUUAACCAGUUAUUAAACAGCUGCACUUCCUCUAGACUGUUUCCUCUGCUUUUCUUUAGAGUGGUCUUUAGAGGCACGACAUGUACUUAUUAUGAAUACUGAUUAUGAAUAAUAAUUUUAUGAUUUAAUGGUCAC